rnacentral:rRNA from 1 species
UACGGGGGGGGCAAGCGUUGUUCGGAAUUACUGGGCGUAAAGGGCUCGUAGGCGGCCAACUAAGUCAGACGUGAAAUCCCUCGGCUUAACCGGGGAACUGCGUCUGAUACUGGAUGGCUUGAGGUUGGGAGAGGGAUGCGGAAUUCCAGGUGUAGCGGUGAAAUGCGUAGAUAUCGGGAGGAACACCGGUGGCGAAGGCGGCUCUCUGGGACGGUACUGACGUUGAGACGCGAAAGCGUGGGGAGCGAACAGG